rnacentral:tRNA from 1 species
UCCCUGGUGGUCUAGUGGUUAGGAUUCUGUGCUUCAGUUGCAGGGGCAUGGGUUCGAUCCCUGUUGAGGGAA